ACCCGACCAGCAUUGUCCCGUUCGUACCACAAGGCCUCACACCCGACCCAUAUGUUGCCGUUACCUCCUGAACUGAGACGGGCAGUCGCAUGGGACACCUGACAAGACGACACGAACAGGGGCACUACACAUGCUGCGAAUCGCUCCCCAAGUGUCACCCAGACGCGUUCUGGACAGUCAAAACAAAACCUAAUCAAGACUGUCCGAACUGUGUUUGCCGCCUACAAAUGUUGAUAAAAUGCCUGAUCACUAGUAACCCUGUUGCUACUUAGCUAUUGCUGUUACCUACUCUUUGAUCCCACCUUAAUUUGACUACUUUAAAUUUAAUAUGAUUGACUUUACCUUACCGAUGUCGACCUCUAAUGUGAUAUGCCAUGUAGGACUUACUAACAUACACCUGACUAGACAGACUCGACCUCAGCGGCCCAAAUCUCAUCAUACUCCAGGCACUCACAUUGACCGCUCCUCUCACACACAAUCACUAACUACAAGACUACACUGCACUGGUGCACACUCAUAUACCCGACUACGACCACAGGCUAAAUAAUACACGUUGACACCUUGUGCCUUUAUAAAUCCCACCUUAGCAAUAUCAGAUCACCUGCCAGGCCACCCAGUGGAACCUCAUUUCAUGUAGAUAGGGAAGCAGGGACAUGUCCUGUUUGCCUCUACAAUCUAAGCAUUAGCUGUUGACUCCACCUGGUCUAAAAUGUGUUCUAGGGAUCCUAUAAAUACAGACAACGUGUGACUAAUCUCUAACAGUUACAUGUCUUAUAUUUUGCAAUGUGCUAGCCGUUAAGCGACUAUUGCCUGCUCCUCCUAUUAUUCGCACAGAUAGAUCAAACAUACUUAAAACUGUGUUGCUAAUCUCUAACAGUUUCAUGUCUUAUAUUUUGCAAUGUAUUAACCGUUAAGCAACUAUUACCUGCUCCUCCUAUUGUUAGCACAGAUAGACCAAACAUGUUUCUAUGCCGUAUGCAUAUCACUUCUGUUUUAUAUUACAUAAAAAUGUGCAGACAUAUUACUUGCCAUGUUUGAAAAUGUAUGAUUUUGCGUGUAACUGCUGUUGUGGCAACACACGCUCGUUGUUAGAACAUGCAC